GAUGAAGAACGCAGCAAAAUGCGAUGAGUAAUGUGAAUUGCAGAAUUCAGUGAAUCAUCGAAUCUUUGAACGCACAUUGCGCCCGCCAGUAUUCUGGCGGGCAUGCCUGUUCGAGCGUCAUUUCAACCCUCAAGCACAGCUUGGUGUUGGGACUCGCGUUAAUUCGCGUUCCCCAAAUUGAUUGGCGGUCACGUCGAGCUUCCAUAGCGUAGUAGUAAAACCCUCGUUACUGGUAAUCGUCGCGGCCACGCCGUUAAACCCCAACUUCUGAAUGUUGACCUCGGAUCAGGUAGGAAUACCCGCUGAACUUAAGCAUAUCAAUAAGCGGAGGA
rnacentral:misc_RNA from 1 species